CAGUCGCCGCGGGAAUACGUAGGUGGCAAGCGUUGUCCGGAAUUAUUGAGCGUAAAGGGCUCGCAGGCGGUUUCUUAAGUCUGAUGUGAAAGCCCCCGGCUCAACCGGGGAGGGUCAUUGGAAACUGGGAAACUUGAGUGCAGAAGAGGAGAGUGGAAUUCCACGUGUAGCGGUGAAAUGCGUAGAGAUGUGGAGGAACACCAGUGGCGAAGGCGACUCUCUGGUCUGUAACUGACGCUGAGGAGCGAAAGCGUGGGGAGCGAACAGGAUUAGAUACCCGAGUAGUCCCUGUCUCUUAUAA
rnacentral:rRNA from 1 species